CAGAGGGUGCGAGCGUUGUCCGGAAUCACUGGGCGUAAAGGGCGCGUAGGUGGCUGGGUAAGUGUGCGGUGAAAGCCCGGGGCUCAACCCCGGGUCGGCCGUGCAGACUGCUUGGCUUGAGCAUAGUAGAGGCAGGUGGAAUUCCGGGUGUAGCGGUGGAAUGCGUAGAGAUCCGGAAGAACACCGGUGGCGAAGGCGGCCUGCUGGGCUAUUGCUGACACUGAGGCGCGACAGCGUGGGGAGCAAACAGGAUUAGAUACCCUGGUAGUCCACGCCGUAAACGAUGGGUACUAGGUGUCUGGGGGAGCGACCCCCUGGGUGCCGGCGCUAACGCAUGAAGUACCCCGCCUGGGGAGUACGGCCGCAAGGCUG
rnacentral:rRNA from 1 species